AGCUGGUGCAAGUACAAUGAUGUUUACAACUAAUUAAUCAUAAUCAGUUACAGAUUUCUUUGUUCCUCCUCCACUCCCACUGCUUUACUUGACUAGCCUUAA
rnacentral:Y_RNA from 1 species